AUUGAACGCUGGCGGCAUGCUUUACACAUGCAAGUCGAACGGUAACAGGCCGCAAGGUGCUGACGAGUGGCGAACGGGUGAGUAAUGCAUCGGAACGUGCCCAGUCGUGGGGGAUAACGCAGCGAAAGCUGUGCUAAUACCGCAUACGAUCUAUGGAUGAAAGCGGGGGACCGUAAGGCCUCGCGCGAUUGGAGCGGCCGAUGUCAGAUUAGGUAGUUGGUGGGGUAAAGGCUCACCAAGCCAACGAUCUGUAGCUGGUCUGAGAGGACGACCAGCCACACUGGGACUGAGACACGGCACAGACUCCUACGGGAGGCAGCAGUGGGGAAUUUUGGACAAUGGGCGCAAGCCUGAUCCAGCAAUGCCACGUGCAGGAAGAAGGCCUUCGGGUUGUAAACUGCUUUUGUACGGAACGAAAAGGUCUGGGUUAAUACCCUGGGCUGAUGACGGUACCGUAAGAAUAAGCACCGGCUAACUACGUGCCAGCAGCCGCGGUAAAAC
rnacentral:rRNA from 1 species